ACAGGCCUGCCCGAGGCUCCCGGGUGGCAGGAGCGUGCACGUGGUCACACGGAGGAGGGCGUUCUGGUUGACCGAGUGAAUUCACUCUCGCAGAAGGCGGAUGUGGAAACGAGGCACACGACACCCGUUCACGGUUUCUAGGGAACCACAUGCACGAAUCACAACAUCGGAGGCCGGCUGGAUAAAUGACAACACAGGACUCUACGUAGCAGACUCGGUGUUUGUGUCCAAAACAGUUUCAGGAGGAGGAAGAGUGGGUUUAAAAGUUCAGGUCACACCACCGGUUUGGGGACUUCGUUUUCCUUAUCACAUUUCUCUCCCUCGGUGUACGCGAACGAAAUUUCAAGUU